rnacentral:lncRNA from 1 species
GACGCCCCCCAUCGCCAAUGGGGAGAUGGCCCCCAAGGAUGGGACACCGGGUCGUGGGGAGCAGGCCAGCGAGGGCUACUUCAGCCAGUCCCAGGAGGAGGAGGUGCCCCCCACCGAGGAGCUGUCGGCCAAAGCCCCCCAGCCUGUCUUCUACAACAAGCCCCCAGAGAUCGACAUCACGUGCUGGGACGCAGACCCUCUGCCCGAGGAAGAGGAGAGCUUUGGGGGGGCCCUGUGAGGCCGGGCCCCGCUGCCGGCACAGGCAGCCCGCCCCCCGCGG